UAUAAAAAACGCAACAAAAGAGAAGAGAACAACUCGAAAGGCACGAUUGAUUCUCCUUCGUUUACGAAUUUCUCUACCACGUUGCUCUCUUUUAUUCUCUUUCUUUGUUUUUUAGUUUAUUUCUCUU
rnacentral:ribozyme from 14 species